AACGCGAAGAACCUUACCUGGAUUUGACAUCCUCGGAUAGCCCUAGAGAUAGGGUUUCCCCUUCGGGGGCCGGGAGACAGGUGCUGCAUGGCUGUCGUCAGCUCGUAUCGUGAGAUGUCGGGUUAAGUCCCUUAACGAGCGCAACCCUUAUCCCUAGUUGCCAUCAUUUAGUUGGGCACUCUAUGGAGACCGCCGGUGUUAAACCGGAGGAAGGUGGGGAUGACGUCAAGUCCUCAUGGCCUUUAUAUCCAGGGCUACACACGUGCUACAAUGGCCGGUACAGAGGGUUGCUAACCCGCGAGGGGGAGCUAAUCUCAUAAAGCCGGUCUCAGUUCGGAUUGAAGUCUGCAACUCGACUUCAUGAAGCUGGAAUCGCUAGUAAUCGCGGAUCAGCACGCCGCGGUGAAUACGUUCCCGGGCCUUGUACACACCGCUACAGU
rnacentral:rRNA from 1 species